rnacentral:rRNA from 1 species
GGACCCGCACAAGUAGUGGAGCAUGUGGUUUAAUUCGAUGCAACGCGAAGAACCUUACCAGGGUUUUGACAUCCUGCGAAUUUUCUGGGAAAACCGGAAAGUGCCUUCGGGAGCGCAGUGACAGGUGGUGCAUGGCUGUCGUCAGCUCGUGUCGUGAGAUGUUGGUUAAGUCCCGCAACGAGCGCAACCCACGUCUUUAGUUGCCAGCAUUUAGUUGGGCACUCUAGAGAGACCGCCGGUGAUAAACCGGAGGAAGGUGUGGAUGACGUCAAGUCAUCAUGCCCCUUACAUCCUGGGCUACACACGUACUACAAUGCUACGGACAAAGGGCAGCAAACUCGCGAGAGC